GACGAACGCUGGCGGCGUGCUUAACACAUGCAAGUCGAACGAAGUGGCGCACGGGUGAGUAACGCGUAAUCACCCUGCCCUUCAGAGGGGUACAACAGUUGGAAACGACUUCUAAUACCGCAUACUGAGGGAGGGGAUUGCGUUUGAUUAGCUAGUUGGCGGGGUAACGGCCCACCAAGGCGAUGAUCAGUAGCCGGUCUGAGAGGAUGAACGGCCACAUUGGGACUGAGACACGGCCCAGACUCCUACGGGAGGCAGCAGUGGGGAAUCUUCCGCAAUGGACGAAAGUCUGACGGAGCAACGCCGCGUGAGUGAUGACGGCCUUCGGGUUGUAAAGCUCUGUUAAUCGGGACGCGGUACCGGAAUAGAAAGCCACGGCUAACUACGUGCCAGCAGCCGCGGUAAUAC
rnacentral:rRNA from 1 species